AGUGCAACUAGAGUAAUGUUUGUUGUAAACGGCGGCGUUAACGUGAGCGUCCUAAGGUAGCGCGAUAAUUUGCUUUUCAAUUGAAGGAUGGUAUGAAAGGGUUAACGAAGAAGGUGCUGUGUCUAAAAAUUUAAUUUAAACUAACUUUAAGGUGAAGAGGCCUUUAUGUAAAAGAAGGACGACAAGACCCUAUGAAGCUUUAUCUUAAUUGGAGCUUUCAGGCUCUUAUACGAUUUUGAUGGGAGAUCAGUAGAAAUAAGUCUUCUACUAUUAUAUUAAUCUUACUAGUAUUUCCUAACUUUAUAUGUGUGGCUAGCUACUCUAGGGAUAACAGCGCAAUUUCUCCCGAAAGAUGGUAUUGGAGGGGAAGAUUGCGACCUCGAUGUUGGCUUUAGAUACCCUAG
rnacentral:rRNA from 2 species